rnacentral:rRNA from 1 species
UACGAAGGGGGCUAGCGUUGCUCGGAAUCACUGGGCGUAAAGCGCACGUAGGCGGCUUCUAAGUCAGGGGUGAAAUCCUGGAGCUCAACUCCAGAACUGCCUUUGAUACUGGGGAGCUCGAGUCCGGAAGAGGUGAGUGGAACUCCGAGUGUAGAGGUGAAAUUCGUAGAUAUUCGGGAAGAACACCAGUGGCGAAGGCGGCUCACUGGUCCGGUACUGACGCUGAGGUG